AUAAAUUUCUAUCUCUACUCCAUUAUAAAGCAAAAGUCUCAUUUUUUAUUUUUAGUAUGUUCUGCCUUUGAAAUAACAUGAAUACCUCAUUUUUAUUUUUAGUAUGUUCUAUCUUUGAAAUAACAUAACGUAGAUACCCUUGGACUUCUAAUAAAAUCUCCCUACAAUAAACACUAAAAUAUCAAUUAUUCGCCCCUAAGGCCUAAACCAUAUAACACACACUUGCCCUAACCCCGCCUCUCUCUUGCCUCUCUCUCUCUGACUUGAUGACACCGCCAGAAUCAACGUCAUUCACCGUCGUAAACCGCCGUGAUCAUCAUCAACACCACCACAACAUUUUGUCAUCACCAUCAAUCUAACAAUUCACCACCAAUUCACCGUCGGCAACCAUCUCGCCGGAACCCAGUUCGUCGGCAACCACCAACCAAGUAGCCACCAAGAGACUUCUAUCAUCAGCAUCCAUAAAUCUACUUAUUUUUUGUUGAUCACCUUCCUCCCAUAACCAUUUCGGCGCCAAACCUAAAUACAUAUAUCGAGUUCUUAAAAAUAGGGUGAGGAAAGACGCAAUCAUACACGAGCAUAGUACCCGCGCGUUGCAGCGGCUAGAAGAUGAGGACAAUAUAAAAUGAAGGCGGUGUUGGUGAUCGAAGAAUGCGAAGGAGAAGGAUAUUGUGUGUUUUGUGGGUUUAAAUUUUUGAUAAGGGUACUUUCGGUAGAUACUUGAGUAGGUGUAAAAAACAAUAGAAGUAAGAAGGGUAGUAUGUGAAUGAAAAAGUUGCUUAAUUUCUUAAAACUAAUACCCUUUAUAAGGGUUUAUAGAUUAUAGAUAGGUUAUGAUUUUUAGUAUUUUCAGUAUAAUGAAAAGACAUCUACUAUCUUGAAUUUUUGCCA